AGCCAGAAUGGUUUAGUGGUUUGAACGUUGUCGGACUACAACUCUGAAGAUUAGGGUUCAAAUCCCCACUUGGCUA